UUUUUCUAUUAGGCUGUUAGCUAGUUUUUAGCUCGCCAUGGGAUGGCAUGGAUCACGGUUUCCUCGCGCGAGCAUGUAGGGGCGAUGCACGACUGGGCGUCGUGGGAUGGCACGACCUGUAAGCCCGGAGAGCACGACCAUUUUUCAGCUGUUUUUCAGAAGCUCCAAGAAAGCUUCAGUCAAUAACAAAAACACCCAAAAAGCUGCAGCAGUUGAUCGCAGCACAAAGGACUCUCUUGUCUACCCUAACGUCUACUCUCUCUCUCUAACCCUCGUGCGAUCGCCGGCCGUUAGCAACUACAAGGAUCUCGAGGAUUUCCUCCGCAUCGACAAGGAACAAAAGCCUGCUCAA
rnacentral:lncRNA from 1 species